rnacentral:rRNA from 2 species
GACAGAGGGUGCGAACGUUGUUCGGAAUUACUGGGCGUAAAGCGCGUGUAGGCGGCGUGGCAAGUCGGGUGUGAAAGCCCUGGGCUCAACCCAGGAAGUGCAUUCGAUACUGCCAUGCUGGAGUCCCGGAGAGGAUGGUGGAACUCUCGGUGUAGAGGUGAAAUUCGUAGAUAUCGAGAAGAACACCGGCGGCGAAGGCGGCCAUCUGGACGGUGACUGACGCUGAGACGCGAAAGCGUGGGGAGCAAACAGG